rnacentral:sRNA from 1 species
UAAUAGUGCGUGAGGGAUAGCAGUGAAAAUCCUUUUUGUUUUCUUUUUGAAAACAAAAAGAUUGUAACGAAUAGCCCGACCCUUG